UUUGUUGGCUCCUGCAGUGAUGGAUCACCGUUUCAGUGGCAUUUAAAUCCCCGGCGCUCCCCAGUCUAGGUGACGCGCAGUCGCCCCCCCAGGCAGCCUGGGCGGCAGCAGCAGCUGCGACGGCCGCAGGGGCAGAAGCGGAGCGCUAAGGCGAAGGGGAGCAGAAGCUGCUUUCUGCGCGCGCCAACUCCGAUCGCCCUCCCCCCUCCGGGAGGUGGGGGCUGGAAGGCAUCCCCUGUCACCGCCCCCCUCCCCACCGAGCCCAGAAAGAUUAAUUGGCAAAAGACCUGUUUGCCUGGACCCAUCAACAGCUGGGAGACUAAUCAACCACACUGAAAAUGUUUGGGAAUUUGUGGGGGAGGGGGUUGGGAUAUAGAUAUUUGAAACAAACAUGUAUAAAUAAAUGAAUGGUUGAUAACUUAGUAAUUGACCUGGAGACUGGUAGCUUGUUAAAGAAACUCCAUGUUCCUCCUUGGAGUUGGAGGUUUCUGUAGGCACUUUAUUUCUCCACUUUCAAAAACUUGGGCUUGGCCCAACUCUGAGGCUGCCCAAUCCUGUUUCUAUUGCCAAUUUAAAUCUAUGGCUUGAACCUCUAUGUUGAAAACCUAAUCCAUUCCCUUAAAAAAAAAAAAGCAAAACACAUUUCUCAGAAGCCCUAACCCUUUUCUGGCUUUCCUUUUUUGUUGCUGUUUCUGUCUGUUGAAGACUUUAAACAUGCCCAUUCAAUAAAUAUAUUAAAAUUGGAAAAGAAA